rnacentral:rRNA from 1 species
AGUGAACGCUGGCGGUAGGCCUAACACAUGCAAGUCGAACGGCAGCACAGUAAGAGCUUGCUCUUACGGGUGGCGAGUGGCGGACGGGUGAGGAAUACAUCGGAAUCUACUUUUUCUUGGGUGAUAACGUAGGGAAACUUACGCUAAUACCGCAUACGACCUACGGGUGAAAGCAGGGGAUCUUCGGACCUUGCGCGAUUGAAUGAGCCGAUGUCGGAUUAGCUAGUUGGCGGGGUAAAGGCCCACCAAGGCGACGAUCCGUAGCUGGUCUGAGAGGAUGAUCAGCCACACUGGAACUGAGACACGGUCCAGACUCCUACGGGAGGCAGCAGUGGGGAAUAUUGGACAAUGGGCGAAAGCCUGAUCCAGCCAUACCGCGUGGGUGAAGAAGGCCUUCGGGUUGUAAAGCCCUUUUGUUGGGAAAGAAAAGCAGCAGGUUAAUACCCCGCUGUUCUGACGGUACCAAAAGAAUAAGCACCGGCUAACUUCGUG